rnacentral:rRNA from 1 species
AUUCCAGCUCCAAUAGCGUAUAUUUAAGUUGUUGCAGUUAAAAAGCUCGUAGUUGAAUCUUGGGAUGGGGCGAGCGGUCCGCCUCUUUUGGUGUGCACUGGUCUCUCCAUCCUUUUGGUCGGGGACGCGCUCCUGGUCUUAACUGGCUGGGACGCGGAGUCGACGAUGUUACUUUGAAAAAAUUAGAGUGCUCAAAGCAAGCCUAUGCUCUGAAUACAUUAGCAUGGAAUAACGUGAUAGGACUCUGGUCCUGUUCUGUUGGUCUUCGGGACCGGAGUAAUGAUUAAUAGGGACAGUUGGGGGCAUUCGUAUUUCAUUGUCAGAGGUGAAAUUCUUGGAUUUAUGAAAGACGAACUUCUGCGAAAGCAUUUACCAAGGACGUUUUCAUUG